rnacentral:rRNA from 1 species
UACGGAGGGUGCGAGCGUUGUCCGGAAUCACUGGGCGUAAAGGGCGCGUAGGCGGCCUGAUAAGUAGGGAGUGAAAUCCUGCGGCUUAACCGCAGGGCUGCCUUCUAAACUGUCAGGCUAGAGCACAGUAGAGGCAGGUGGAAUUCCCGGUGUAGCGGUGGAAUGCGUAGAGAUCGGGAAGAACAUCAGUGGCGAAGGCGGCCUGCUGGGCUGUUGCUGACGCUGAGGCGCGACAGCGUGGGGAGCAAACAGG